rnacentral:rRNA from 1 species
AGCGAACGCUGGCGGCAGGCCUAACACAUGCAAGUCGAACGAACUCUUCGGAGUUAGUGGCGGACGGGUGAGUAACAUGUGGGAACGUGCCUUUAGGUUCGGAAUAACUCAGGGAAACUUGUGCUAAUACCGAAUGUGCCCUUCGGGGGAAAGAUUUAUCGCCUUUAGAGCGGCCCGCGUCUGAUUAGCUUGUUGGUGGGGUAAUGGCCCACCAAGGCGACGAUCAGUAGCUGGUCUGAGAGGAUGACCAGCCACAUUGGGACUGAGACACGGACCAAACUCCUACGGGAGGCAGCAGUGGGGAAUCUUGCGCAAUGGGCGAAAGCCUGACGCAGCCAUGCCGCGUGGAUGAUGAAGGUCUUAGGAUUGUAAAAUCCUUUCACCGGUGAAGAUAAUGACUGUAGCCGGAGAAGAAGCCCCGGCUAACUUCGUGCCAGCCGCCGCCGUAAUAC